rnacentral:rRNA from 1 species
CCUACGGGAGGCAGCAGUGGGGAAUAUUGGACAAUGGGGGGAACCCUGAUCCAGCGACGCCGCGUGAGUGAAGAAGUAUUUCGGUAUGUAAAGCUCUAUCAGUAGGGAAGAAAGAAAUGACGGUACCUGACUAAGAAGCCCCGGCUAACUACGUGCCAGCAGCCGCGGGACUACGUAGGGGGCAAGCGUUAUCAGGAUUUACUGGGUGUAAAGGGAGCGUAGACGGCGAUGCAAGUCUGCAGUGAAAGGCGGGGGCCCAACCCCUGGACUGCAUUGGAUACUGGAUGGCUGGAGUGCAGGAGAGAGAAGUGGAAUUCCUAGUGUAGCGGUGAAAUGCGUAGAGAUGAGGAGGAACACCGGUGGCGAAGGCAGCUUACUGGACUGUAACUGACGUUGAGGCUCGAAAGCGUGGGGAGCAAACAGGAUUAGAUACCCCUGUAGUC